rnacentral:rRNA from 1 species
GACGUAGGAGGCGAGCGUUAUCCGGAUUCACUGGGCGUAAAGCGCAUGUAGGCGGUUGGGUAAGUCAUAUGUUAAAGCCCCUGGCUCAACUGGGGGAGGUCAUGUGAGACUACUUGACUGGAGGGUCACAGAGGCACGUGGAACUCCCGGUGUAGCGGUGGAAUGCGUAGAGAUCGGGAAGAACACCCGUGGCGAAGGCGACGUGCUGGGUGGCUGCUGACGCUGAGAUGCGAAAGUGUGGGGAGCAAAC